UUUCCCCUUCCUCCUCCACGGCCGAAGAAUGUGAUCUUUGAAGAUGAGGAGAAAUCCAAGAUGCUGGCCCGCCUGCUGAAGAGCUCCCAUCCCGAAGACCUCCGCGCAGCCAAUAAGCUCAUCAAAGAGAUGGUGCAGGAGGACCAGAAGCGGAUGGAGAAGAUCUCGAAGCGGGUGAAUGCCAUCGAGGAGGUGAACAACAAUGUGAAACUGCUCACGGAGAUGGUGAUGAGCCACAGCCAGGGCGGCGCAGCAGCUGGCAGCAGCGAGGACCUCAUGAAGGAACUGUACCAGCGCUGUGAGCGGAUGCGGCCCACGCUCUUCCGACUGGCGAGUGACACAGAGGACAAUGAUGAGGCCUUAGGUGAGCCCGGGGCAGGUGCUGAGGUCAGGUCCCCCACUCUCCCUCCACCUCCUGCCCCCACCUCCCCCAGGCCCUGCUAAGUAUCUGCAGUUGGAAGGAGCCACCACCAGGGGGGCCCCUUCUCCAGCACCGACCUUGGGUUUCUCCUCUCUGAGGACACAGAGCAGGGGCCGCCUCGCUGUUGAGAGGCCCUGUGGGCCAGCCGCCUUAACAGGCAUCUUAUUUACUGCCCGCAGCUGCACAGGAGGCAGAACCAUCCCCUUUUCACAGCUGGGGCUGAGGG
rnacentral:sRNA from 1 species